AGCUGGGCAAUUGCUUUGCGAGGCUGGGUGUUGAGUCGAGCCGCGGGAAAGGCGCGUGUCGGCCUCUCACUGGCGCAGCCUGCACUGCCGCUGCCGCCUCGCCCCGCCCUGCCCUGGCGUUGUCUCUGGCACUGUGGCGGACUGACCACGGCCCGGGCAUGGGCUGCAAGGGAGACGCGAGCGGAGUUUGCUAUAAAAUGGGAGUUCUGGUUGUACUCACUGUUCUGUGGCUGUUCUCCUCAGUAAAGGCCGACUCAAAAGCCAUUACAACCUCUCUUACAACAAAAUGGUUUUCCACUCCAUUGUUGUUAGAAGCCAGCUGUGGAGUAGAGUGAGAUUGUACACCCCAGUGUUCACAAGUAAUGGGAAAGUCUUCCUUUGGCUAGUGAGUUUUUAGCAGAAGACAGUCAAGAGAAAUUUUGGAAUUUUGUAGAAGCCAGUCAAAAUAUUGGAUCAUCAGAUCAUGACGGUACCGAUUAUUCCUACUAUCAUGCAAUAUUGGAGGCUGCAUUUCAGUUUCUGUCACCCCUCCAGCAGAAUUUGUUUAAAUUUUGUCUGUCCCUUCGUUCUUACUCAGCUACAAUCC
rnacentral:lncRNA from 1 species